AGUGUCGUAGGGUUCAGGCAAUAGGGUUCCCCCAGGCAAUCAAAUUUCACCAGGCAUUUUUGGUUUAGAGUCUGUGACGAUCUUUUUUUGGUUUUAGAGUCUGUGUUUUUUGGUUUAGAGUCUGUGACGAUUUAGAGUCUGUGACGGCUUGAAUGAUCGUGCAUGGAAUAAUAGAAAAUGAUUUCGGUUCAGUUUUAUUGGUUUUACGGACUGAGAUAAUGGUUAACAGAGACAAACGGGGGCAUUUGUAUGGUCCCGUGAGAGGUGAAAUUCUUGGACCGUGGCCAGACAAACUACAGCGAAAGCAUUUGCCAAGAAUGUUUUUAUUAAUCAAGAACGAAAGUCAGAGGUUCGAAGGCGAUCAGAUACCGCCCUAGUUCUGACCGUAAACGAUGCCAACUAGCGAUCCGCUGAUGGAAAUUAUAUUGCCUUGGUGGGGAGCUUCCCGGAAACGAAAGUCUUCCGGUUCCGGGGGAAGUAUGGUUGCAAAGCUGAAACUUAAAGGAAUUGACGGAAGGGCACCACCAGGAGUGGAGCCUGCGGCUUAAUUUGACUCAACACGGGGAAACUCACCCGGCCCGGACACUGUGAGGAUUGACAGAUUGAUAGCUUUUUCAUGAUUCAGUGGAUGGUGGUGCAUGGCCGUUCUUAGUUCGUGGAGUGAUUUGUCUGGUUUAUUCCGAUAACGAGCGAGACCCUAACCUACUAAAUAGUUGGUACAUACUCUUUGUGUAUACAGCUUCUUAGAGGGAUUUGCGGCGUUCAGCCGAAAGAAAUUGAGCAAUAACAGGUCUGUGAUGCCCUUAGAUGUCCGGGGCUGCACGCGCGCUACACUGGCAAAAUCAACGUGCUUGUCCUACCCCGAAAGGGGCGGGUAAACCAUUGAAAAUUUGCCGUGAUUGGGAUCGGAAAUUGCCAUUAUUUUCCGUGAACGAGGAAUUCCAAGUAAGUGCGAGUCAUCAGCUCGCGUUGAUUACGUCCCUGCCCUUUGUACACACCGCCCGUCGCUGCCCGGGACUGAGCCAUUUCGAGAAAUUUGGGGACCGUUGAUUUANUUGAUUCAGUGGAUGGUGGUGCAUGGCCGUUCUAGUUCGUGGAGUGAUUUGUCUGGUUUAUUCCGAUAACGAGCGAGACCCUAACCUACUAAAU
rnacentral:rRNA from 1 species